AUUGAACGCUGGCGGAAGGCCUAACACAUGCAAGUCGAGCGGCAGCACGGAGCUAACUCUGGUAUCCAGCGGCGGACGGGUGAGUAAUACAUAGGAACCUGCCCGGUAGUGGGGGAUAACGUCGCGAAAGGGGCGCUAAUACCGCAUACGUUCUGAGGAAGAAAGCGGGGGAUCUUCGGACCUCACGCGAUCGGAGGAGCCGAUGUCGGAUUAGCUAGUUGGUGGGGUAAAGGCCUACCAAGCCGACGAUCCGUAACUGGUCUGAGAGGACGAUCAGCCACACUGGAACUGAGACACGGUCCAGACUCCUACGGGAGGCAGCAGUGGGGAAUAUUGGACAAUGGGCGCAAGCCUGAUCCAGCCAUGCCGCGUGUGUGAAGAAGGUCUUCGGGUUGUAAAGUGCUUUUGGUUGGAACGAAAAGCAGCAGGCUAAUACCUUGCUGUCAUGACGGUACCAAAAGAAUAAGCACCGGCUAACUUCGUG
rnacentral:rRNA from 1 species